rnacentral:sRNA from 1 species
UAUUUUUGUUCGGAAUGGAAGGAUAGACAAAGUUUUUAAAGCUUUUCGCCUUGAAGUUACAUGAGCAAGAAUAGUAAUACAUUGUGUGGAGAACACACGAGGAGGUAACAUUAUGUUAGAAGGUACAGUUAAAUGGUUUAACGCAGAAAAAGGUUUCGGAUUCAUCGAGCGCGAAGGUGGAGACGACGUGUUCGUACACUUCUCAGCUAUUCAAGGCGAAGGAUUCAAAACUUUAGAAGAAGGUCAAAAAGUUUCUUUUGAAAUCGUUCAAGGAAACCGUGGCGACCAAGCAGCUAACGUUACUAAAGCAUAAUUUAUGCAUACUGAAAGACUCUACUCUGUAGAGUCUUUUUUC